rnacentral:rRNA from 1 species
GAUUUCUUCGGAAGGAAGAUCCAGUGACUGAGUGGCGGACGGGUGAGUAACGCGUGGGUAACCUGCCUCAUACAGGGGGAUAACAGUUAGAAAUGGCUGCUAAUACCGCAUAAGCGCACAGCUUCGCAUGGAGCAGUGUGAAAAACUCCGGUGGUAUGAGAUGGACCCGCGUCAGAUUAGGUAGUUGGUGGGGUAAUGGCCUACCAAGCCGACGAUCUGUAGCCGACCUGAGAGGGUGACCGGCCACAUUGGGACUGAGACACGGCCCAAACUCCUACGGGAGGCAGCAGUGGGGAAUAUUGCACAAUGGGGGAAACCCUGAUGCAGCGACGCCGCGUGAGCGAAGAAGUAUUUCGGUAUGUAAAGCUCUAUCAGCAGGGAAGAUAAUGACGGUACCUGACUAAGAAGCUCCGGCUAAAUACGUGCCAGCAGCCGCGGUAAUACGUAUGGAGCAAGCGUUAUCCGGAUUUACUGGGUGUAAAGGGAGCGUAGACGGUUGUGCAAGUCUGAUGUGAAAUUCCAGGGCUUAACCCUGGACCUGCAUUGGAAACUGUAUAACUAGAGUGUCGGAGAGGUGAGUGGAAUUCCUAGUGUAGCGGUGAAAUGCGUAGAUAUUAGGAGGAACACCAGUGGCGAAGGCGGCUCACUGGACGAUAACUGACGUUGA